GUUUGAUCCUGGCUCAGAAUCAACGCUGGCGGCGCGCUUAACACAUGCAAGUCGCACGAGAAAGGGGAGCAAUCCCUGAGUAAAGUGGCGUACGGGUGAGUAACACGUGGAUCAUCUACCUUUUAGUGGGGAAUACCCCCGGGAAACUGGGGACAAUACCGCAUAAGCUCGUGAGAGGAAAGCAGCAAUGCGCUGAAAGAGGAGUCCGCGGCUGAUUAGCUAGUUGGUGAGGUAACGGCCCACCAAGGCGAAGAUCGGUAGCCGGCCUGAGAGGGCACACGGCCACACUGGCACUGAAACACGGGCCAGACUCCUACGGGAGGCAGCAGUGGGGAAUCUUGCACAAUGGGGGAAACCCUGAUGCAGCGACGCCGCGUGAGUGAUGAAGCCCCUCGGGGUGUAAA
rnacentral:rRNA from 1 species